rnacentral:rRNA from 1 species
UACUGGAAAAGUCCCUCUCCCAAAGCUCCGGCGCCCAAGGACGGGACUGCGGCCCAUCAGGUAGUUGGCGGGGUAACGGCCCACCAAGCCGACAACGGGUACGGGCUGUGAGAGCAGGAGCCCGGAGAUGGAGACUGAGACAAGGCUCCAGGCCCUACGGGGCGCAGCAGGUGCGAAAACUUCGCAAUGCGUGCAAGCGUGACGAGGGGACCCCAAGUGCCGAUGGUCUUUCUGAUCGUCGGCUUUUCAAGAGUUUAAAUCGCUCUUGGAAUAAGAGCUGGGUAAGACUGGUGCCAGCCGCCGCGGUAACACCAGCAGCUCAGGUGGUGGUCGCGAUUAUUGGGCCUAAAGCGUCUGUAGCCGGGCCAGUAAGUCCCCUGUGAAAUCGGACGGCUCAACCGUUCGGCGUGCAGGGGAAACUACAGGCCUCGAGGCCGGGAGACGUCGAGGGUACUCCGGGGGUAGCGGUGAAAUGCUGUAAUCCCUGGGGGACCACCAGUGGCGUAGGCGCUCGACGAGAACGGACCUGACGGUGAGGGACGAAAGCUGGGGGAGCGAACCGGAUUAGAUACCCGGGUAGUCCCAGCUGUAAAGUAUGUGGGCUAGGUGUAGGGCGCUCCACGAGGGCGCCCGGUGCCGUAGGGAAGCCGUUAAGCCAGCCGCCUGGGAAGUACGGCCGCAAGGCUGAAACUUAAAGGAAUUGGCGGGGGAGCACCACAAGGGGUGAAGGCUGCGGUUUAAUUGGACUCAACGCCGGUAAUCGAAUUCCCGC